UUGGAGGGCAAGUCUGGUGCCAGCAGCCGCGGUAAUUCCAGCUCCAAUAGCGUAUAUUAAAGUUGUUGCAGUUAAAAAGCUCGUAGUUGAAUUUCGGGGUUCUACCGUUGGUCGGGCUAUUGUCUGUACUGGCGUGUAGAAUUUCUACCUUCUGGGGAACUAUCAUGUUAUUAAUUUAGCGUGGUAGGAAACCAGGACCUUUACCUUGAAAAAAUUAGAGUGUUCAAAGCAGGCUUAUGUCUGAAUACAUUAGCAUGGAAUAAUAAAAUAGGACGGUGGUCCUGUUUUGUUGGUUUCUGAAUCACCGUAAUGAUUAAUAGGGAUAGUUGGGGGCAUUAGUAUUCAAUUGUCAGAGGUGAAAUUCUUGGAUUUAUUGAAGACUAACUACUGCGAAAGCAUUUGCCAAGGAUGUUUUCAUUAAUCAAGAACGAAAGUUAGGGGAUCGAAGACGAUCAGAUACCGUCGUAGUCUUAACCAUAAACUAUGCCGACUAGGGAUCGGAUGAUGUUAAUUUUUUAAUGACUCAUUCGGCGCCUUACGGGAAA
rnacentral:rRNA from 1 species